ensembl:miRNA
GACUGUGGCGACGGAGACGGCAAGGCUGUGCUGGUCGCGGGUUGUGGGGUUUAGGUCACCGGCAGGGGUCUGGAGUCCCUGGAGGUUAGGGCU